UUUUCCGAAAGGAACAGCCACAUAAUGAAGGGGUGUGCAGCCAAAGCAGCUUCGAGAGGGAUGGGGAAAGGCAAUGAAAGAGGAUAAUGAUCCCACAGCUGCUGUCUGUCCUGAUGCUUUGAAGAGUGGGUGACCUGUCUCCGUGCCUGCAAACAAAGGGCCAGAGACAGGAGGCCGGCGGGCAGCCUGAGACACCAGGACUGAAUCCUAUUCCAUCAUAUGUAUAGACCACGUUUCAUUCAUCCAUUCAUCUGCUGAAGGACGCCUGGCUGCGAUCAGUUUUUGGUGACCGUAAAUCAUGCUGCUUUGAAAGUGAGUGUACACCUAUCUCUUGGAGAUCUUACUUUCGAUUCUUUGGGGUGUGUACUGGAUUGCAUAGUGAUUCUACACUUAAUCUGGGGGGAGCCCGCAUUACCUUUCUCCAUGGCAGCUGCAUCAUUUUACGUUUCCACCAACAGUGCAUGAGAGUUCUGAUUUCUCUACAUCCUCACCAACACUUGUUAUUUUCGGUUUUGGCUUUUUAAAUAACAGCCAUCAUAAGGGGUGUGAGGUGGUACCCAGUUGUAGUUAUGAAACAUUUUAAGUGUAAAUUUAUAAACGUAGUGGAGUAACACUAAGAAGGCAAAGUGGGCACCGGUCUCAGCAGAGGGGAAACAUCCUGUUGAUUAUUUCAAAUCUCUGCUCUUUAAUUUUUGAGCCCAGUCCUACCAAAGGGGGAGAAGAGAAACGACUGAGGAGGGGGCACACAGACCUAACACUGUUUGAUGGUCCUGUUUUGGCCUCUUUCUAAUCACAAGCUAGAAAAUUGAAAGGCUUUCAUAUUAACCAGCCCUGUUCCUGUCUUUGCUGCCAGAAGGAGACCAGAGAUUCAACAUCUCUUGGGAAGAGAGAAGAGAAGGGAAAAAUAUAUAUACCGUGCUUGUCUUCUGCCUGGAUUCUUUGAUUUAUUCCAUUUGGAAGAGAUGCUAGUGUCCCCAAUGUUGACAGUGUGUAUAGACUGGUGGGACUCUCUGAAGUCCUUUUUCCUAGAAAAGAGCUGAAAAACAGCAAGUGUGCGAGCGGAAGGGCGGCCGUCCCACCCCGGCUGGGAGCCGUCUCAGUGCUGAGCACCCCUCUGCUCCCUCCCGCGGCCUCGGCUGCUGGUGAGCUCAGCCAGCCUUGUGAGGAGUCACUUGUGGUAGAUUUCCAGAGCGCUCCGUUAUCCUUUCCUCUUCUUUUUAAUAUUACAGCCUGCGGAGACAGGUCAGUGUUUUUAUUGCCCACAUCUUAAGUGAAAACGUCUAGAGUGGGCACAAGAUAAUCAAGGGAAAAGACUGUGGUGCCAGGGUCGCACCCAAGCUCCUAGCCCCAACUUGGCCUUGGCCACUGGACCACACUGCUGCUUUCAUCUGACAGGAGGGCUGGCACCGGACACAGAUGAGAGAAACCAGAGCAGCCAGCCUUGGCAGAGACCUCGACCUCCCUUCUGCCGCCGGGCCAAGUCUGCCACUUGCUGCACCGCGGAAGCUCUGCGGUGUUUCGGGGGGGCGUGGAGGGAGGAGGUUUUGGAGGCACCUCCCCGUAUCUCGGCUCCGUGGGGCCCAGAGCUCCCCUUUAAUUGCUGCGAGGGAUCCCCAGAGAGGAGGCUGCACUGCACAUCAGGAGCUCCUUACCUUAAGACAAAAGAACACAAUCGUGAGGUGCCACCCUUCCCUCUUCCCUUGUUAGAGCGACUUCCAGUCGGCAAUGAGCAUCUCCGCCGAUGGUGCAAUGUCACCGAUGCCACCCGUGUUUCCCGUUCCAUCCCAGUCCCAGCGGAGAGAGAGAAGGGGGACCCGGCAUGGCAGAGGCGGGCCUGGGCUGUGCCGCCUGCACGUGGCGUGACGGGGAGGCCACAGCCUCAGGGCUCACGUGCCAUCGCUGACUCUUUGCUGUGUGUCCCACGGACGAGUGUCCUUCCUGUCCCCGCGGGACAGGACAAAAAGAACAGAAAAGGCUCCUUCCUGCACCUGCGUGCAGGCAGUUGAAAAUUCUGGAAACCUGUAAGCAGUAAAGAUUAACCAGAUUCUGGCUGAUUAGUAGCCGGUCACCUGGCUGAACGGGCUGGGUUUGAGUAAGUCAGUUUAGUGGGAGGUCAGCCCACCGGGAGUCAGCCCGACUCCAAAGGUCGCAGUGAAAACAAAAUCAUGCCAUUUACCCACAUUUCAGAGACUGGAUUAGGUUGUAAGGCUUGGUCUGGAAAGAAGGAUUAAUUAUUUCCAACUAGGUGGAUUCUGCGUCCUCUCAGCCAGUUUCUCCCUUGUGCUGUGGAGAAAGUGUAAGAUACAUCAUGGAUGUUGUGAUAUAAACACUGUCUCCCUGCCUGUACCACGGGGCAGACUAAUGAAAUAAUUCAAUCAGACCAGCUUCCGCCUCUGCCACGUUCUCAGCGGAAGCUCUGUGCUCUUGCGCUGCUGUGCGCAGGCUGCGCCCGUGCGGUUCCGCAGUUAGCAUCCCGACGUGAGGGUGGAGUUUACUGAGUCUAGCACCCUCUUACACUUACAGGACACA